rfam:Geobacillus sp. B4113_201601 NODE_70, whole genome shotgun sequence.
GGUGGUAUAGCCAAGAGGGAAGGCAGAGGUCUGCAAAACCUUGAUCCCCGGUUCGAAUCCGGGUACCACCU